CUCCCCUCUCCUCUUCUACCCCUACCCGCUCUAUUUCUUGAUUUUCUUCUCUGACCUAACCAUAUAAGGAAUUCGGCGGCUCUUCUCCCAUCUGGUGGUGGUCCGGCAGCAGAUCCAGUAGUCGUUUUUCAGGAGAGGUGGCACCAGGCCUGAUUGGAUACGUGAAGAUGUCUGGAAUCAGCUUUUGGUGAAGUGGAACACCCCUGAGUGGAAGAAGAAAAGUGAACAAGCAAAGUUAAACACAGCUUCUACUAAGGGUGGAGCGUUGCAUACUGGAGGAACGUGGGGGAGAUGUGACUUAUGCUGAGGCCUUUGCGGAGACCCACAAGAAGAAGAGAAAGGAGGAGGACGGCACAAGAGAAUGAUGGGUCGAAGCGUGUGCUUCAAAG